rfam:Triticum aestivum genome assembly, contig: Triticum_aestivum_CS42_TGACv1_scaffold_361927_4DS
GUGGUACUCCCUCCGUCCGAAAAUACUUGUCAUCAAAAUUGAUAAAAAGAAGUAUCUAGAACUAAAAUAUAUCUUCUUUUAUUCAUUUUGAUAACAAAUAUUUCCGGUCGGAGGGAGUACAAU